CCUACGGGUGGCAGCAGUAGGGAAUCUUGCUCAAUGGGGGAAACCCUGACGCAGCAACGCCGCGUGGAGGAUGAAGGUUUUAGGAUUGUAAACCUCUUUUGUGAGAGAAGAUAAUGAAGGUAUCUCACGAAUAAGCACCGGCCAAUGUCGUGCCAGCAGCCGCGGUAAUACGGAGGGUGCAAGCGUUAGUUGGGAGCACUGGGCGUAGAGAGUGCGCAGGCGGGUUUGUAAGUCAGAUGUGAAAUCCUGUAGCUUAACUACAGAACUGCAUUUGAAACUAUGAGUCUAGAGUGUGGGAGAGGUAGGUGGAAUUCUUGGUGUAGGGGUAACAUCCGUAGAUAUCAAGAGGAAUACUCAUUGCGAAGGCGACCUACUGGAACAUUACUGACGCUCAUGCACGAAAGCGUGGGGAGCAAACAGGAUUAGAUACCCUUGUAGUC
rnacentral:rRNA from 1 species